rnacentral:rRNA from 1 species
AGAAUCAACGCUGGCGGCGUGCCUAACACAUGCAAGUCGAACGAGAAAGGGACUUCGGUCCUGAGUACAGUGGCGCACGGGUGAGUAACACGUGACUAACCUACCCUGGAGUGGGGAAUAACUGAGGGAAACCUUAGCUAAUACCGCAUAAUACCUACGGGUCAAAGGAGCAAUUCGCUUCAGGAGGGGGUCGCGGCCGAUUAGCUAGUUGGCGGGGUAAUGGCCCACCAAGGCAAUGAUCAGUAU